rnacentral:rRNA from 1 species
GACGAACGCUGGCGGCGCGCCUAACACAUGCAAGUCGAGCGGAGAUAUUUGAAGGAAGUUUUCGGAUGGAAUUUGGGUAUUUUAGCGGCGGACGGGUGAGUAACGCGUGAGUGACCUGCCUUCCACAGGGGGAUAACGUACCGAAAGGUACACUAAUACCGCAUGAGACCACAGCACUGCCUGGUGCAGGGGUCAAAGGAGCAAUCCGGUGGAAGAUGGACUCGCGUCCGAUUAGAUAGUUGGUGGGGUAACGGCCUACCAAGUCAGCGAUCGGGAGCCGACCGGGGAGGGUGAUCGGCCACAUUGGAACGGAGAGACGGUCCAAACUCCUACGGGAGGCAGCAGUGGGGAAGAUUGGGCAAUGGGGGAAACCCUGACCCAGCGACGCCGCGUGAGGGAAGAAGGUUUUCGGAUUGUAAACCUCUGUUCUUGGUGAAGAGGGAAAGACGGUAGCCAAGGAGGAAGCCCCGGCUAACUACGUGCCAGCCGCCGCCGUAA